rnacentral:rRNA from 1 species
AACGAACGCUGGCGGCAUGCCUAACACAUGCAAGUCGAACGAGACCUUCGGGUCUAGUGGCGCACGGGUGCGUAACGCGUGGGAACCUGCCAUUAGGUUCGGAAUAACUCCCCGAAAGGGGUGCUAAUAACGGAUAAUGUCUUCGGACCAAAGAUUUAUCGCCUUUGGAUGGGCCCGCGUUGGAUUAGCUAGUUGGUAGGGUAACAGCCUACCAAGGCGACGAUCCAUAGCUGGUCUGAGAGGAUGAUCAGCCACACUGAGAAUGAGACACGGCCCAGACUCCUACGGGAGGCAGCAGUGGGGAAUAUGGGACAAUGGGCGAAAGCCUGAUCCAGCAAUGCCGAGUGAGUGAUGAAGGCCUUAGGGUUGUAAAGCUCUUUUACCCGGGAUGAGAAUGACAGUACCGGGAGGAUAAGCUCCGGCUAACUCCGUG